GUAGUUAUCGUAUUAAGUACCAAGCAGGGGAGUACGCAAUUCAAGGGUGAAACUCAAAGAAAUUCACGGGGGCCCGCACAAGCCGGUGGAGAAUGUGGUUUAAUUCGAUGAUUCGGGAAGAACCUUACCCAGGCAGGACAUCCGCGGAAUGCCCAAGAAAUUUGGCAGUGCCUUUCGGGGAAGGCAGUGUCAGGUGCCGCAAGUAUGUUUUCAGCUCGUUUCGUGAGGUGUUGGGUUAAGUCCCGCUCCGAGAGCAAUCCUUAUCCUUAGGGGGCAGCAGGUAAAGAUGAUCGUUCUAGGGAGAAUAUUCGGCUUAACCGGGUGGAAGGGGGGUAUGGGGUCAAGUCCUCAUGCACCGUGGCAGGGCGGCUUCUCAGGCAUUACAAUGGUGCAUACCAAGGGAGGCGAUUCCGCCACGGUGAGGUAAUCCCAUAAAGGGCAUCUCAGUCGGGAUAAGAGUUCACAAAUAGACUCCCUGAAGUCGGAACAGCUAGUAAUCCCGGAUCAGCAGUCCGCGGCGAAUGUGUUCCCGCACUAGGUACACACCGCCCGUCACACCCCGAAAGUUGGCUCUAUCCUCAACCAGUGAGCUAACCAGCAAUGGAGGCUGCAUUCUACGGCGGGGCUGAUGAUUGGGGAGAAGUGGCACCAACGUACUC
rnacentral:rRNA from 1 species